GAUGAACGCUGGCGGCGUGCCUAAUACAUGCAAGUCGAGCGGACCAAAGAGAGCUUGCUCUCUGAGGUUAGCGGCGGACGGGUGAGUAACACGUGGGUAACCUGCCUGUAAGACGGGGAUAACUUCGGGGAACCGAAGCUAAUACAGGAUGAUAAAGAGAAACGCCUGUUUCUUUUUUUAAAGUCGGCCUUGUGCUGUCGCUUACAGAUGGGCCCGCGGCGCAUUAGCUAGUUGGUGAGGUAACGGCUCACCAAGGCGACGAGGCGUAGCCGACCUGAGAGGGUGAUCGGCCACACUGGGACUGAGACACGGCCCAGACUCCUACGGGAGGCAGCAGUAGGGAAUCUUCGGCAAUGGACGAAAGUCUGACCGAGCAACGCCGCGUGAGCGAUGAAGGCCUUCGGGUCGUAAAGCUCUGUUGUCAGAGAAGAACAAGUACCGGAGUAACUGCCGGUACCUUGACGGUACCUGACCAGAAAGCCACGGCUAACUACGUGCCAGCCGCCGCGGUAA
rnacentral:rRNA from 1 species